GACGAAGGUGGCGAGCGUUGUUCGGAAUCACUGGGCAUAAAGCGCACGUAGGCGGUGCCGUAAGUCGGGUGUGAAAUCCCUCGGCCUAACCGAGGAACUGCGCCCGAUACUGCGGUGCUUGAGGACCAGAGGGGUGCAUGGAAUUUCCGGUGGAGCGGUGAAAUGCGUUGAUAUCGGAAGGAACUCCGGCGGCGAAAGCGAUGCACUGGCUGGUUUCUGACGCUGAGGUGCGAAAGCCAGGGGAGCAAACAGG
rnacentral:rRNA from 1 species